UUCAAGUACAAUCAUAAUUUUUCGUAUCCAACUUUAAUUGUCCGUCUUAUUUAAAAUAUUUUAAUAAUUAGUAUUUCAUUGUUAUGAGAUGAUAAAAUAUGAAUAUUACUUUAUAUGUGACUUAUGUUUUUAUUUUUUCAAAAAAAAAUAAAUAAGACGAACGGUUAAAAUCGUGCACGGAAAAUCAUGACCACACUUAAA
rfam:Oryza meridionalis cultivar OR44 (W2112) chromosome 7, whole genome shotgun sequence.